rnacentral:rRNA from 1 species
GACGAAGGGGGCUAGCGUUGUUCGGAAUUACUGGGCGUAAAGUGCGUGUAGGCGGUUGUCCAAGUUGGAUGUGAAAGCCUUGAGCUUAACUCAAGAAAUGCAUUCAGGACUGGAUGACUAGAGGACCGGAGAGGAUAGUGGAAUUCCCAGUGUAGUGGUGAAAUACGUAGAGAUUGGGAAGAACACCAGUGGCGAAGGCGGCUAUCUGGACGGUUUCUGACGCUAAGACGCGAAAGCGUGGGGAGCAAACAGG